UACGGAGGGCGCAAGCGUUGUUCGGAAUUACUGGGCGUAAAGCGCGUGUAGGUGGCCUGGCAAGUCGGGUGUGAAAUCCCGGAGCUCAACUCCGGAACUGCAUCCGAUACUGCCAAGCUCGAGUCUCGGAGAGGAUGGCGGAAUUUCCGGUGUAGAGGUGAAAUUCGUAGAUAUCGGAAGGAACACCAGUGGCGAAGGCGGCCGUCUGGACGAUGACGGACACUGAGACGCGAAAGCGUGGGGAGCAAACAGG
rnacentral:rRNA from 1 species